rnacentral:lncRNA from 1 species
AAAGGGUAAAGCCCAACAUAAGGAGGCAAGCUAUACCCUAGAAGAAGCAAGAAACUAAUCGUCUUGGCAACAAAACAAAGAGAAUGAAAGCACACAAACAUAACCUCACAUCCAAGUAUGAAUAUAACAGGAAGCAAUAAUCACUAUUCCUUAAUAUCUCUCAACAUCAAUGGCGUCAACUCCCCAAUAAAAAGACAUAGAUUAACAAACUGGAUACGCAAUGAGGACCCUGCAUUCUGCUGCCUACAGGAAACACACCUCAGAGACAAAGACAGACACUACCUCAGAGUGAAAGGCUGGAAAACAACUUUCCAAGCAAAUGGUCAGAAGAAGCAAGCUGGAGUAGCCAUUCUAAUAUCAAAUAAAAUCAAUUUUCAAUUAAAAGUCAUCAAAAAAGAUAAGGAAGGACACUUCAUAUUCAUCAAAGGAAAAAUCCACCAAGAUGAACUAUCAAUCCUCAUCUUCGGUUGGUUUAUAUACAAGUGUGCAAUUUCUAGGCUUGAAAGUAAAAUGAUGCUAUCUGGUGCUGGAUAGAGGAGCCUUAUUUUUUAUUAUGGCAGCUUGCUAUUUUUGUAACAUGGUG